rnacentral:rRNA from 1 species
CAUGGCUCAGAACGAACGCUGGCGGCAGGCCUAACACAUGCAAGUCGAGCGCCCCGCAAGGGGAGCGGCGGACGGGUGAGUAACACGUGGGAAUUUUCCUCAAGGUACGGAACAACUCAGGGAAACUUGGGCUAAUACCGUAUGAUGCAGAGAUGCCAAAGAUUUAUCGCCUUGGGAUAAGCCCGCGUCAGAUUAGGUAGUUGGUGGGGUAAUGGCCUACCAAGCCUGUGAUCUGUAGCUGGUCUGAGAGGACGAUCAGCCACAUUGGGACUGAGACACGGCCCAAACUCCUACGGGAGGCAGCAGUGGGGAAUCUUGCGCAAUGGACGAAAGUCUGACGCAGCCAUGCCGCGUGAAUGAUGAAGGUCUUAGGAUUGUAAAGUUCUUUAGCCUGUGACGAUGAUGACGGUAACAGGAGAAUAAGCCCCGGCUAACUUCGUG